rnacentral:rRNA from 1 species
GUCUUUUUGAUUAUAAUUUAAAGUCUGACCUGCCCAAUGAAGAAUUUUAAAUGGCUGCGGUAUUUUGACCGUACAAAGGUAGCAUAAUAAUUAGUUUUUUAAUUGAGAACUGGAAUGAAAGGUUGAACGAGAAAAAUACUGUCUCAAUUUAAAUUAAAAUUUGAAUUUUAUAUUUAAGUUAAAAAGCUUAAAUAUUCUUAAAAGACGAGAAGACCCUAUAGAGUUUUAUAUUAUUAAUUAUUAAUUAAAUUAAAGGUAUUUUUUUUUAUAAUAAUUUAAUAUUAUUUGAUUGGGGUGAUUAAAAAAUUUAUUAAACUUUUUUUUUAUUUUUACAUUAAUGUAUGAAUAAUUGAUCCAUUAUUAAUGAUUAUAAGUUUAAAUUACCUUAGGGAUAACAGCGUUAUUUUUUUUUAGAGUUCUUAUCGAAAAAAAAG